GAUGAAGAACGUAGCGAAAUGCGAUAAGUAAUGUGAAUUGCAGAAUUCAGUGAAUCAUCGAAUCUUUGAACGCACAUUGCGCCCGCCAGUAUUCUGGCGGGCAUGCCUGUUCGAGCGUCAUUACAACCCUCAGGCCCCCGGGCCUGGCGUUGGGGAUCGGCGGAAGCCCCCUGUGGGCACACGCCGUCCCUCAAAUACAGUGGCGGUCCCGCCGCAGCUUCCAUUGCGUAGUAGCUAACACCUCGCAACUGGAGAGCGGCGCGGCCAUGCCGUAAAACACCCAACUUCUGAAUGUUGACCUCGAAUCAGGUAGGAAUACCUGCUGAACUUAAGCAUAUCAAUAAGCGGAGGA
rnacentral:misc_RNA from 1 species